rnacentral:lncRNA from 1 species
UGUGGGCUUAAAGCCAUCCCUCACUGAGCCCUGCUAGCAGAUGAAUAUAUCGAAAGGUGAUGAGUACGAAGGAGCUUGGCUGCCAGCCAGGCGGUGUAGGAAAAGGAUGGGAAUUAUGUUGUUGUGAACCUAAAGUUGCUCCAAGAAAGUCUAUCAAAAAGUUAAAAACAUUUAAAUAAACAAAUAAAAGGAUGAGAAUGUUG